rnacentral:rRNA from 1 species
GGAGUGUGUAACAACUCACCUGCCGAAGCAACUAGCCCUGAAAAUGGAUGGCGCUAAAGCUCCGUGCCUAUACCCGGCCGCCGGAAGGCAUAGGCGUGAGCCGCUCUUCUGGGGCGGCGAGCGCGCGAAGCCCCGGCGAGUAGGAGGGCGCGGCGGUGUGCGCGGAAGGGUCUGGGCGUGAGCCUGCCUGGAGCCGCCGCCGGUGCAGAUCUUGGUGGUAGUAGCAAAUACUCAAGCGAGGGCCUUGAGGGCUGAUGUGGAGAAGGGUUUCGUGUGAACAGCCGUUGCACACGAGUCAGUCGAUCCUAAGCCCUAGGAGAAAUCCGAUGUCGAUGCGGGGGGUCAUUUGCUCCCCCUCGAUGGGCGAAAGGGAAUCCGGUUCCUAUUCCGGAACCCGGCAGCGGAACCGAAUUUACGGGCCCUCGUCAGAGAAGCUCGUCGGGGUAACCCAAAGGGACCCGGAGACGCCGUCGGGAGACCCGGGCAGAGUUUUCUGUUCUGCAUAAGCGUUCGAGUUCCCUGGAAUCCUCUAGCAGGGAGAUAGGGUUUGGAACGCGAAGAGCACCGCAGUUGCGGCGGUGUCCGGGUCGUCCCCUCGGACCUUGAAAAUCCGGGAGAGGGUCACGCGGAGGUGUCGCGCCGGCUCGUACCCAUAUCCGCAGCA